AGCUCUAAACCAACUUGGGCGAGGUAGCCUAUUUAAUGUUUGCAGACUAUCAGACCAACAAUGAAUCUGCUACGCGGCACAGCUAAAAUUAUGAAAAACAUGAAUCAGAAUUUUAGACAGGGCGUGGAACAGCUUGGGGAGAGAAGCAUGCUGCAGUCACUGAUAACACUGGGUCUUUUUUUUCUUCGUAUAGUUAAAGCAGCGGAAUGCCCAAUUCCAUUGGACCUUGGACAGAGCGUUAUUUUGUCAAGUGAGGCAGUUCUACGGAAUGAAUUCUCAGAGGGAUCCCAAAUCACACUGGAGUGCGACAACGGAUAUGUUCGACGGGAAGGAUCCCAAACAAUUACCUGUAUGAGCGGCAACUGGACUGAAGUGAAGUUGAUAUGUAAAAGGAAAGAUUGUGGACCCCCCAAAGUGAUUCCACAUCUGACAUUUAUAUAUAAGAAUGGAGAGAAUGCUACAUAUUUUAGGGAUCGAAUAACAGCAGUUUGUGAGCAGGGUUUCCAGCUUGUGGGAUCAAGUCACUGGCAGUGUCUAAACCAUGGAUGGAAAGGGAAGUCAACCUGUUUAGAGAUUGUGUGUGGUGAGGCUCAGCUGGACACUUUACCUGUUCUGGAAAAUGGACGUAUCGUCAAUGCUCCUCUUCACGAAGAACACAUUAAGAUGGGUGACUCCAUUCAGUAUAGCUGUAAUGAUGACUACCAUCUCACUGGAAAUGAUACCAUCACAUGCACUGAGAAUGGCUACAGCGAGCUGCCCAAAUGUGAAAGACAGAGAUUUCAGCAUCCAAGCAAGACACCCAUGAAAGAGCAAAUUGAGUCAUCAGUUUCUGUGUCAACUGGAGCCAUCAUAGGUGCCCUUGCAGUGUCUGUACUUGUCAUUGUCUUUGGUCUUAUAUGGCAUUAUGCAAAGAACAAAGGGUGUUCUGUUGGGUUGAGGUCAGGACCCUGUGCAGGCCAGUCAAGUUCAUCUACACAAGGUCCACAAAGGCAAGGAUGAACCCAUCGUUUCCCAUUGUGGAAAGACUUCCCAGAAGAGUUGAAGCUGUUAUAGCUACAAGGAGUGGACCAACGUCAUACCAGAGAAUGUCUAAUAAGGGGAGAACGACCACUCGCUGAAUACUUCCGCAUGGUACUGCAACUAGAGGGCGAUCGCGAGCAAGUGGAGAAUGAAUGGAGUUCUUAUGAAACACAAGAGGAGAGACACAAGAUGGGUGAUGUCACUGAAAGAAAGUUGGACUCCCUCCAAGUUGUGAGGUGAACCAUUACCAGUCAUCAGCCAUCUUUAUGCCUGGCCCUCAUCACACCUGAAGUCCCAUCCCCCUGAGUGCCAUUGCCAUCAUCAUCCCUAUGACUGCCCUACCAUUACCUGCUGUGGUUCCCUGCCAGGACCCCCGGCCCACGCAUCCCAGCGACCCAUUACCCUCCAAAAUUACUAAUGGAUUGCUGAUGGACUAUUUAUUCCCUAUACUGGACUGUUUGAACCUUCUGAUACUACAAAUGACUUUACUCUACUUAACUGACCCUAGGCAGAUGGGUUGGGCCCUUGAGUUGUGGAUCUGUCUGAGGUUUCUUCCUAUAUGUAUCUCCAAUUCUAGGGAGUUUUUCCUUGCCCCUGUUGCUCAUGGGCUCUCUUUGAAGGUUUAACAAUCUGUAAAGCGCCAUGAGAAUGUCUAUACAGAACUGCUUUCACUUCCCCGAGUCGCGAACGCAACAUGCACAACAAUAUACCGAUAUUUAGCAAACACAUGUAUUUCCAGCUCUCAAAACCGAUGAGGUCCAGAUCUCAGUGGCCUCAUAGCUGCCUACAGCCAUGCAUAGUAAGCCUAAUGAUAGCCUAAUAGUUAUGACAUUAAUAGCCUAUUAAUGACCUCAUGUCGGAAUGGCACGUUGUUUGAAAAAAAAAAAAAAAAUACCGCCGAUUGGGGAUAUGUCAGAAUGAACAGCAGAUACCAGCUUUGAAAACUCUGCAACUGCAAUCUGACAUGCCGAGCGUCUGUUCAAUACGGAAGAAGACAUUAACAUAUUACUUUGCCUAUAUAUUUCUUAUAACGAAACGUGAAGAAAAAAUACGAGGACUGACCAUUUCGUUUCUCCGCGUUUCCCCAAUACCAUGGCGACAAAGAUAAAUAAAUAUGAUUUGACAUUUAAGCUGAUUGUCAAAUUUGCCAAACACAAUUCGUGAGAAGCAGCGGACAGGAGCGCCACCACAAGCAAGCACUUCUAGCCCAAAUUAACAUGGCAACGUUGCCUAUGACUAAAGUGUAUAAGUAGGCUAGUCCUACUAAUAUUACAUUUGAUUGGUAGCAUGUUUGUAUCGCGCCAGUUUAUCCAUCCCCUACAUCAAAACAGCUUAGAAUCAAUCAAAGAAUCAGCUGUGUCGGCUUUAGGCAGGCGAUUUUCUGUAACCAUUUUUAUUCAUUUCAACAAUGGUUUAUUGAAACGUCGUUUGAUUAAUUUCGCCAGUCAUCACCUUCAUUUUAAUGAUUAAAUGAGAUUAAGGAGUCGACAAUUGACGGAUAUGCGGUCUUCAUCAUUAAAUGCAGUUGAAAUGCGGGUUGAAACUUUCUGCCACCUGGUGGUUGUUUGGGUACAUUGCCUUAGCCUCGAAAAAAAUCGGCUUGACAGCCUGCGGGAUCUCUUCGGGAGUUCCGCGGGAAAAGGUGCAUUCUCUUUCUAAAUGUGAACAAGUACAACAUAUUUUACAAGAAUAAAAUGUGGAUUUCCUAGCAAUGUCAGAAACAUGGUUAAAUGCAAACUCGCCACAUACGGCUAUAAAUGUGCCUGGUUUUACAUUUUUUAGGAAUGAUAGUAAACAUGGAAAAGGUGGGGGAGUUAUGUGUUACGUAAAGGACACAAUUAGAUGUAAUGUAAUCAAAGACAUGGCAUGUGAACUAGAAUGUCUGGGUUUAAAUAUUGUACUCUCGCCAGAAAUGUCAUUAACCUUAAUUGUAAUCUACCGUCCGCCCUCAUCAAAUGUCGGUUUCUAUGACCAAUUUAGAGAAAUGUUGCAAUAGUGUGACUUCAAUAGAGAGGUGAUAGCUACCUGCUAAGGUAGCUGAGGAAGGCACCCUUAAGUGUAUUUAUCAAGCGGAGCAACCAGAAUGACCAAUUCCUCUAGUACACAGAUUGAUCUACUUUUUAAAUAAACCUGAAAGAAUAAUAAAAUCGUAUAACUUUGACUGGACUCUGAUCAUAAUCUUAUACUAAUGGCUAGAAAGUAAAUGGAAAGAAAGGCUCUGUUUCUGCGCAGAGCAUGGAUUAUAUGAAAAUGCCAAAGAAUAAAAAGGAAGAUUUUAAAAAUUAUGAAAUCAGAUAAUCUGGACUACCCAGUAUUUUGUGGAUAAACUGCAAACUUAUCAAAGACUUUAAAAAAAAUGUCUAGAAAUAAAAACAAAAGGGCUUCCCUCCCGUGGAUAAAUGAAAGUACUUCAAAUGAUGAAAGAACGAGAUCAUAUCCUAAGAGCAUCACUGAAGUCUAAAUUGACAACUGGCAGGCUUAAAUUUACAUCCAUAAUGAAUAAGGUUGCAAAAGAACUUAGAAAAGCCAAGGCAAAUUACUUCCUUGAAAUAAUAGUAAGUAAUAAGGGAAACUCUAAAAUGACAUGGCAGCAAAUAAAGAAACUAUCUGGACAAAACAAUGCUAGAAAACAGAUCGAACUGAGGAUUAAUGACACACUAACAAAUGAGGCAAUAGAUAGCUGAAGCAUUAAAUCAUUAUUCUGUAGAUUCGGUAGCUACUAUUGCCAACAGUUUUUCCUUGCUCCAGCAAUAUGAUAUCAAAGAACCUUUACCAGGAUCCAUUUUUAAUUUUGAAAGAGUCUCUGAAGCGCAAGUAUUAAAAGUGAUUGAUUCACUCAAACCUAAAUCUUCAAAAGAUGUUUAUGAAAUGGACUCUGCUAUGAUCAGGGAGUGUGCAGGCUCAUUGAUUAAACCAAUCACGUAUAUUGUAAAUAUCUCUGACUCAAGGUCGAGGGAGCCUCCCCCAAUAUUGGAAGCCUGCAGCUGUCGUUGGACAACUGUUUCUUUUAUUGAAAGAGUUAAGUCUUUAUUAGACACAGGGAGUGUAGUUGGGGCGAUAUUUCUGGAUUUAAGAAAAGCAUUUGAUACAGUUAAUCAUAAUAUUCUUCAGUCAAAAUUUGUUCAACUUGAUUUUUCUCAGUAUACAUCUAACUGGUUUAAAUAUCUUACUUAACCACUCUCAAUGUGUUAAAAUACAAAAUACAAGAUCCUCCUUUAAAGAUCUUGUAACAUGAGUACCCCAAGGUUCAAUUUUGGGCCCAAUUCUUUUCAGUCUUUAUAUAAAUGACCUUCCAUCUGUGUGCCAAGGCAGUGAGAUCCUUAUAUAUGCAGAUGAUACUGUCAUUUUUAUUAAAGGUAAAAAUCAUUCUGAGGUUGCAGUACAGCUUGGAAGUUAUGAUUAAUGUUUCAAAUUGGUUGAAUAACUGUCAUUUACAACUUAACACUUCUAAAACUGUUGCCAUGUUCUUUGCUAAAACAAAAAAAAAAAAUAUACAGAGCCUGAUGUUUUUAUUUCAGGGCAGAUAAUUCCAAAUUGUAAAUAAAUAUAAAUAUUUAGGAAUUAUUUUGGAAAUGCAGUAACCUGACUUCCAAGCAACAUGUUGAGAAGGAUCACAAACUUUACACUUCAAAAUUGUAGGCAUCUUAGAAAUUAUAUGUCAACAGAGGCUGCAAAAACAUACAUGGUCUCUCUCAUAAUGUCACAUAUCAACUACUGUCUACAAACAGGGGCCACUGCAAACUUCAUGACAUUAAAGCUGUUAAAAUCCUUAUAUAAACAAGCUGUCAAGAUUUUAGAUAAAAAAACAAGAUCUUUUCAUCACUGUCUAAUACUUAACAAAUAUAGGCUUCUAAGUUGGAAUGUUAUGUUUAGAAAUUGUUGUCUUACACUGUAUAUAAAAUCUGAAACAGCUUAGCUCCACCACCACACCAUCUACUGCAAUUUAGAUCUUCUGUAACCAGUGUUACUAGAGGGGCUGCUAGAGGUGAUUGUGCAGUGCCUUACAAGAAAACAACCUUUGGACAGUCAGUUUUUCCUUAUAAAGCAGCUGGUGAGUGGAAUGCAAUCCCACAAAACAUAAGAGAGUCCAGUUCUUAUAGUUCAUUUAAAAUAAUAAUAAUAAAAAUGGCUGAUAGACAACCAAGUCUGUCAGCAUUAGUGUAUGAGAUUAGAAGAGUAGUGUUGGAGUGUGUGUGUGUGUGUGUGUGUGUGUAAAAUAACAUGCAACAGGAAACAUCCAAUCGAAAAUAUUUUUUAUUAUUAUUAUUCACCAAUUAACCAAGACAGCAAUGACUUGUCGAGUCAUUGCAUGCAAGUCAAGUCUCAAGUCAUGAGUAGCAAGUCCAAGUAAAGUCUUUUCUCACUGUUGAUCAAGCAAGUCACAAGUCCUCAAUCUGGCGAUUUAAGUCUGACUCCAGUCAAGCCACUAGACUCGAGUCCCCCAUCUCUGGUGUGUAAGGGUAUAAGAAGUGAAUUCAACUACCGAGAUUUGGACAGUUAUUAUCUACACCUACCUGUAAGGAUCGGGUAGACUCUAUUCGGUCCAUUUGUCACAUUGCAGAGUGGUUCAGAACAAUACAUGAGCUGAACUGAAUAUCAUUAGCAGCAUGUGGCUGCACAAUAGGUUUUUUUUUAACCUUCUUUUCAUUUCCAUUUGUAAGAUGGACUCAGAAUUUAAAUUAUCUGACUAUUUGUAAAAAAUGAUAUCUUAACCCUCUAACCGCCCGGGUUUUUUUGGAUUUUUGCAUAAAAAAUUCAAAAGGCCAUGGCUUAAAAGUGGUCAGAGAUAAAGUCCUACUGUAAAUGUGAAAAUCAUUGAGUAUGAACUAAAGUUUAUAAAGGGAGUAAAUUUACUCAUCUAAUUUGCAUAUUAUGACGUCACAGAUUGGCAAUAGCGUCAAAUUAUGCACAUUUCAGUAAAUACUGAUUGUUGAACACAUUUGAGCAGUUUUACUUUGAUUUUUGUAAUUUCUCCGACAUAACAAACAAACAGGACCACAGCCACAUGUAAACCAACAAUAGUAAACUAUUAGUAUUACCACAAUCCCUAUGUUACUAUAUAAUAAAGUAGCCUGGUCAAAUCA